AACGAACGCUGGCGGCAGGCUUAACACAUGCAAGUCGAGCGCCCCGCAAGGGGAGCGGCAGACGGGUGAGUAACGCGUGGGAAUCUACCCAUCUCUACGGAAUAACGCAUGGAAACGUGUGCUAAUACCGUAUACGUCCUUCGGGAGAAAGAUUUAUCGGAGAUGGAUGAGCCCGCGUUGGAUUAGCUAGUUGGUGGGGUAAAGGCCUACCAAGGCGACGAUCCAUAGCUGGUCCGAGAGGAGGAUCAGCCACACUGGGACUGAGACACGGCCCAGACUCCUACGGGAGGCAGCAGUGAGGAAUAUUGGACAAUGGGCGCAAGCCUGAUCCAGCCAUGCCGCGUGAGUGAUGAAGGCCCUAGGGUUGUAAAGCUCUUUCACCGGUGAAGAUAAUGACGGUAACCGGAGAAGAAGCCCCGGCUAACUUCGUGCCAGCCGCCGCAGUAAAAC
rnacentral:rRNA from 1 species